rnacentral:rRNA from 1 species
CCUACGGGAGGCAGCAGUGGGGAAUAUUGGACAAUGGGCGAAAGCCUGAUCCAGCCAUGCCGCGUGUGUGAAGAAGGUCUUCGGAUUGUAAAGCACUUUAAGUUGGGAGGAAGGGCACGUUACCUAAUAGCGUAGAUUGUUUGACGCACCGACANNNCUACCGACCANUNGC